GGGCCUAUAGCACAGUGGUAAUGCGCCGCAUUCGCAUUGCGGAGACGCCGGUCCGAUUCCGGCUAGGUCCA
rnacentral:tRNA from 1 species